rnacentral:rRNA from 1 species
GUACACUCCUGCGGGAGGCAGCAGUGGGGAAUAUUGGACAAUGGGCGCAAGCCUGAUCCAGCCAUGCCGCGUGAGUGAUGAAGGCCCUAGGGUUGUAAAGCUCUUUCACCGGUGAAGAUAAUGACGGUAACCGGAGAAGAAGCCCCGGCUAACUUCGUGCCAGCAGCCGCGGUAAUACGAAGGGGGCUAGCGUUGUUCGGAUUUACUGGGCGUAAAGCGCACGUAGGCGGACUAUUAAGUCAGGGGUGAAAUCCCGGGGCUCAACCCCGGAACUGCCUUUGAUACUGGUAGUCUUGAGUUCGAGAGAGGUGAGUGGAAUUCCGAGUGUAGAGGUGAAAUUCGUAGAUAUUCGGAGGAACACCAGUGGCGAAGGCGGCUCACUGGCUCGAUACUGACGCUGAGGUGCGAAAGCGUGGGGAGCAAACAGGAUUAGAAACCCGUGUAGUCCCA